rnacentral:rRNA from 1 species
UACAGAGGUGCCAAGCGUUAGGCGGAAUCACUGGGCUUAAAGCGCGCGUAGGCGGAUGUUUAAGUGUCUUGUGAAAGCCCACGGCUCAACCGUGGAGGGUCAUUGGAAACUGGGAGACUUGAGUGCAGAAGAGAAGAGUGGAAUUCCACGUGUAGCGGUGAAAUGCGUAGAGAUGUGGAGGAACACCAGUGGCGAAGGCGACUCUUUGGUCUGUAACUGACGCUGAGGCGCGAAAGCGUGGGGAGCAAACAGG